rnacentral:rRNA from 1 species
AUGCGUAGAUAUCGGGAGGAACACCAAUAUGGCGAAGGCACUGUACUGGGCUUUUCCUGACGCUGAGAGACGAAAGCUAAAGGAGUGAUUAGGAUUAGAUACCCUAGUAAUUUUAGCCGUAAACGAUGGAAACUCACUGCCGAGCGAAAUACAACGAGCGGUGGUCAAGCUAACGCGUGAAGUUUCCCGCCUGGGGAUUACGCUUGCAAAAGUGAAACUCAAAGGAAUUGACGGGGACCCGCACAAGCGGUGGAGUAUGUGGUUUAAUUCGAUGCAACACGAAGAACCUUACCAGGGUUUGAAAUCAUUUCAAAACUCCUUGAAAGAGGAGCCUCCUUCGGGAUGAAAUGACAGGUGGUGCAUGGCUGUCGUCAGCUCGUGUUGUGAAAUGUCGAGUUAAGUCUCGUAACGAGCGCAACCCAUGUCUCUUGUUGCUCAUUGAGUGCUUAAGAGAGACUGCCGACCAACAUCGGAGGAAGGUGUGGAUGAUGUCAAGUCAGCAUGCCCCUUACAUCCUGGGCUACACACGUACUACAAUGGUAAGGACAAUGAGCUGCGAUCCUGCGAAGGCUAGCCAAUCUCAAAAACCCUAUCUCAGUUCGGAUUGUACUCUGCAACUCGAGUACAUGAAGGUGGAAUCGCUAGUAAUCGCUGGUCAGCUAUACAGCGGUGAAUACGUUCCCGGGUCUUGUACACACUGCCCGUCACACCAUGGAAGUCGACUCUUCCCUAAGUCGUUACUCGAACCCAUUGGGACGAGGAUGCCGAAGGCAGGGUUGGUGACUAGGGUGAAGUCGUAACAAGGUAGCCGUACUGGAAGGUGUGGCUG